AUCGCUUCUCGGCCUUUUGGCUCAGAUCAAGUGUAGUAUCUGUUCUUAUCAGUUUAAUAUCUCGAUACGUCCCCCAUCGGGGGACUACAUAUUAAAUGGAUUUUUCGAACAGGGAGUCGGAAAUGGGGCUUGCUCCGUCCGCUCCACGCAUCGACCCGGUAUUGCAGUACCUCCGGGAAUGGUGCAACACUU
rnacentral:snRNA from 1 species